rnacentral:lncRNA from 1 species
AAUGCCCAAGUCCUUUACUUGCUGUUGGCCAGGCUUCACCAGGAAAUGACAACAGAGCAGUGUUCGAUCCUUCAGAGCCGGGAUAAAAGCACAGAGGACUGCAAUGCAGAGCACGAGGACCGGUGGGCCUCAGAAAGCCCCGCUGGGAUGCUUCCGAAAGGCCAACACUGGGCGGGGGGGGACACUUCAGGGAGCGGAGGGUCCCUUGGGUCCUUGUCCCACGCCCCGUACAAGGGAUCAGGCAAAACGGGCUGCUCUCAGAUCUACUCUGUAGGCUGUUCACGUGGCAAUAAAUUGCUGGGUUUCCUUUGUGUUUCUAAUGGGAAAGCAAACCGACCACAAAGUAUACCCUUCCUCACCAACCCCUGCCGGGGAUCGUAAAAAGACUCCAAGGACUUAAAAGGUCAUAGGAAACGCGUGGUUCUUCUUGGUGAUUUCUGAUUCCGUGAAGGCAGUCUUGCAAGUGGCAAGUUGGUGCCACGUUAAGUAGCCCAAACAGCCCGUGAAAGAUGUGAGGUGUCUCUGGGUCCCCUGCAAAGGGCAGGGUGGGGAAUGUAGGUGGCCUCUUCCGCCUGUCAUACCUCUGGCACCACUGACCCUCCCGGCAUGAGCUGCAGAAAUCUAACUCCCCGCCCCCCACCUCCUCCCAGGCACGGUGGCCUCAGAGCUACAGGAGUGACUGUUCCUUUCCUUGUUCCCCGAUGGCCUCCUCCUUGCAGUCCUUCUCACUGCCCUGGAUAGAGGUGGCUGGGUAGUUUUCUUCAUACUCAUUCUUAAGGCUAAGGUGGCAAGAUAAGGUGCUUGGUGGAGAGCCAAAUUCUCGAUUCCAGGGCCACUUCGGCACUCGCACAUAAAGCAAAUACGGAAGAAAUGGAGAGGGGGGCGGAGAGGCAAAAAAAAAAAAAACCCAAACCCAAACAAAAUGUAUCUGGGCUCAAUAGGAAGUUACGUACUGCAAGUUUAGAUUUCAAAUGUAGUCUCAACCCCUGAAAAUAGGGGGUGGGGGCGGGGAGUCAAAGCCACAAAUGAGCCUUCGGCCCUGGUCUGUGCUGUCCCCUCGGCCGGGGUAGCGCGUCGCCCCUAGCAGCUCUCGCCACGGGCCUCCCUCGCGGACGCCGGCUCGCAAGCGGCAGUUCCGUCCUCAUCCGAGACAAAGGACUCUGAACGCCGUCACCCCUUCCUCCCCGCAACCCCUCGGAACAAAAGCUAUACACACACACGAGUCAGAGAUCUCUACGCCAGUAGGAGAAACA